rnacentral:lncRNA from 1 species
AAAAAUCAAAGUCACGGAAAUUUAUAGUUUUAAGAAACACACGCAGCAAAUAUGGAUAACAAAUAAGAGAAACAGCAACAAAAAUGAAAAUUACUACACAAGUAAAUUAAAAACAGAGGAAAUGAAACACGCGUGAAAAGGGAAACAGAGAAAGUGAAAAUGACAAGAAAACAAUAUGAGAAACAAUGAAAGUGAGCGGGUAAAUAUUCCGAAAGUACCGGGUUGGUCGAAAAUGAGUGGGGAAAAAACUGUCCAAAAGAAGCCCGCCGAAAAACUGCCCGGAACAGU